UACGUAGGGGGCGAGCGUUGUCCGGAAUCAUUGGGCGUAAAGAGCGUGUAGGCGGCUCGGUAAGUCCGCUGUAAAAGUCCAGGGCUCAACCCUGGAAAGCCGGUGGAAACUGUCGAGCUAGAGUCCGGAAGAGGCGAGUGGAAUUCCUGGUGUAGCGGUGAAAUGCGCAGAUAUCAGGAAGAACACCCGUGGCGAAGGCGGCUCUCUGGGACGGUACUGACGCUGAGACGCGAAAGCGUGGGGAGCGAACAGG
rnacentral:rRNA from 1 species